AACGAACGCUGGCGGCAUGCCUAACACAUGCAAGUCGAACGAGACCUUCGGGUCUAGUGGCGCACGGGUGCGUAACGCGUGGGAACCUGCCCUUAGGUUCGGAAUAACUCCCCGAAAGGGGUGCUAAUACCGGAUAAUGUCUUCGGACCAAAGAUUUAUCGCCUUUGGAUGGGCCCGCGUUGGAUUAGCUAGUUGGUAGGGUAAAAGCCUACCAAGGCGACGAUCCAUAGCUGGUCUGAGAGGAUGAUCAGCCACACUGGGACUGAGACACGGCCCAGACUCCUACGAGAGGCAGCAGUGGGGAAUAUUGGACAAUGGGCGAAAGCCUGAUCCAGCAAUGCCGCGUGAGUGAUGAAGGUCUUAGGGUUGUAAAGCUCUUUUACCCGGGAUGAUAAUGACAGUACCGGGAGAAUAAGCUCCGGCUAACUCCGUG
rnacentral:rRNA from 1 species